GUGGGGAAUCUUAGACAAUGGGCGCAAGCCUGAUCUAGCCAUGCCGCGUGAGCGAUGAAGGCCUUAGGGUUGUAAAGCUCUUUCGUGGGGGAAGAUAAUGACUGUACCCCAAGAAGAAGCCCCGGCUAACUCCGUGCCAGCAGCCGCGGUAAUACGGAGGGGGCUAGCGUUGUUCGGAAUUACUGGGCGUAAAGCGCACGUAGGCGGACUGGAAAGUCAGGGGUGAAAUCCCGGGGCUCAACCCCGGAACUGCCUUUGAAACUCCCAGUCUUGAGUUCGAGAGAGGUGAGUGGAAUUCCGAGUGUAGAGGUGAAAUUCGUAGAUAUUCGGAGGAACACCAGUGGCGAAGGCGGCUCACUGGCUCGAUACUGACGCUGAGGUGCGAAAGCGUGGGGAGCAAACAGGAUUAGAAACCCGAGUAGUCC
rnacentral:rRNA from 1 species